GUCCCUGUCGAUUAGUGGUUAGAUCAUCACGUUGUGGUAUCGAGUUGGCAACACAACUCGAUUACAAGGGGGCCGUGGGGACGCAGGCUCGAAUCCUGCCAGGGACA